UGCAGUCGACGACUCUGGUAUUGAUUGGUGCUUGCAUCAUGAUUUACAUUUGAGUGAGUGGCGAACUGGUGAGUAACACGUGGGAAACCUGCCCAGAAGCGGGGGAUAACACCUGGAAACAGAUGCUAAUACCGCAUAACAACUUGGACCGCAUGGUCCGAGUUUGAAAGAUGGCUUCGGCUAUCACUUUUGGAUGGUCCCGCGGCGUAUUAGCUAGAUGGUGGGGUAACGGCUCACCAUGGCAAUGAUACGUAGCCGACCUGAGAGGGUAAUCGGCCACAUUGGGACUGAGACACGGCCCAAACUCCUACGGGAGGCAGCAGUAGGGAAUCUUCCACAAUGGACGAAAGUCUGAUGGAGCAACGCCGCGUGAGUGAAGAAGGGUUUCGGCUCGUAAAACUCUGUUGUUAAAGAAGAACAUAUCUGAGAGUAACUGUUCAGGUAUUGACGGUAUUUAACCAGAAAGCCACGGCUAACUACGUGCCAGCAGCCGCGGUAAUACGUAGGUGGCAAGCGUUGUCCGGAUUUAUUGGGCGUAAAGCGAGCGCAGGCGGUUUUUUAAGUCUGAUGUGAAAGCCUUCGGCUCAACCGAAGAAGUGCAUCGGAAACUGGGAAACUUGAGUGCAGAAGAGGACAGUGGAACUCCAUGUGUAGCGGUGAAAUGCGUAGAUAUAUGGAAGAACACCAGUGGCGAAGGCGGCUGUCUGGUCUGUAACUGACGCUGAGGCUCGAAAGUAUGGGUAGCAAACAGGAUUAGAUACCCUGGUAGUCCAUACCGUAAACGAUGAAUGCUAAGUGUUGGAGGGUUUCCGCCCUUCAGUGCUGCAGCUAACGCAUUAAGCAUUCCGCCUGGGGAGUACGGCCGCAAGGCUGAAACUCAAAGGAAUUGACGGGGGCCCGCACAAGCGGNGGAGCAUGUGGGUUUAAUUCGAAGCUACG
rnacentral:rRNA from 2 species